rnacentral:rRNA from 1 species
GAGGAAUCUUGCGCAAUGGGCGAAAGCCUGACGCAGCAACGCCGCGUGGGGGAAGAAGGCUUUCGAGUCGUAAACCCCUUUUGCAGGGGAAGAAGAUCUGACGGUACCCUGCGAAUAAGCCACGGCUAACUACGUGCCAGCAGCCGCGGUAAUACGUAGGUGGCAAGCGUUGUCCGGAUUUAUUGGGCGUAAAGGGCGUGUAGGCGGUCCAUUAAGUUCGAGGUGAAAUCUCCUGGCUCAACUGGGAGGGGCCCCCGGAUACUGAUGGACUAGAGGGGGGUAGAGGAAGGUGGAAUUCCCGGAGUAGCGGUGAAAUGCGUAGAUAUCGGGAGGAACACCGGUGGCGAAGGCGGCCUUCUGGGCCUACCCUGACGCUGAGGCGCGAAAGCGUGGGGAGCAAACCG